GGCUGAGGGACUCAUCUACAUAUAAAAAGCCUGAGGCCUGAAGUGGAAAUGGAGACGGUGUGGUGACACAAAGGCCGAACCUCCAGCAGCCAGAUUCGGAGUCAGAAUAAAAGAACGGGGACCACGCUGGGGCAGGCCAGCGCACCGCCUCGAUGCCCUCGUUCAAGGUCACCAGCUGCUGCAGGAUCUUCACGUCAAUGGCUCGCAGUUCCAGGCAUAGCUGAGACCCACUCUUGAGACCUUGAGACUGUGGUGCAAAAUGGAUUGUUUUUCAACUCUCCUCAUUGCUGGCUUGCAGUUCAGCUUUCGGCUUCCAAAAUGUUGUUCCUAUCAUCGUCUCUCCUGUUCUUAUCAUCAUGGCUUCUUGGAUUUGAAAGUAAUCCUUCUACUGGCUUUUCGUGGCGUUUCGGGUAGGAAUGGUGUAAUGCAUAUGUUCAAUGCGCCAUCUUGAACUGGCAAUCCUACUGGCUUUAUUCAAGGACCAACUCAAAUG